AAUGAACGCUGGCGGCGUGCCUAAUACAUGCAAGUCGAGCGAACGGACGAGAAGCUUGCUUCUCUGAUGUUAGCGGCGGACGGGUGAGUAACACGUGGAUAACCUACCUAUAAGACUGGGAUAACUUCGGGAAACCGGAGCUAAUACCGGAUAAUACUUUGAACCGCAUGGUUCAAAAGUGAAAGACGGUCUUGCUGUCACUUAUAGAUGGAUCCGCGCUGCAUUAGCUAGUUGGUAAGGUAACGGCUUACCAAGGCAACGAUGCGUAGCCGACCUGAGAGGGUGAUCGGCCACACUGGAACUGAGACACGGUCCAGACUCCUACGGGAGGCAGCAGUAGGGAAUCUUCCGCAAUGGGCGAAAGCCUGACGGAGCAACGCCGCGUGAGUGAUGAAGGUCUUCGGAUCGUAAAACUCUGUUAUUAGGGAAGAACAUAUGUGUAAGUAACUGUGCACAUCUUGACGGUACCUAAUCAGAAAGCCACGGCUAACUACGUG
rnacentral:rRNA from 1 species